CUUUUAAAGCAAAAUUACAUCAUAAGCAUUGUCAGAGAUAACAUGGAAUAAUACAUCAAUAAUUGGUUAGGUGUUAAGUGGUCGCUCUAAUGCUCUGCCUACUGUAGGUGAUGUCACCGGGGCCAUGAGGGUCUCCCACGGUUUCCCGGCGCCAUCUUGUUGCACGAGGUAGUUAGUUGGUGUUAAGAAGGGAAGGGGGGGGGGAGGAGGGGUUAGAAGCUUCUAGCAGCCAUUUUGAUUAAAACAUGUGUGCUUAGCUUUAUAUAUAUAUAUCGUGGAAUGAGUAAAUAGACAUUUUUCACUAACUAGGAAAUAUGUGCAGACCUUAUUUCCACAACAGUUAGUCACGUAUAACACGUUACAUCCAGUUUUAUACUUGGAUAUUACCAUAUUUUACUCUCUCUUACAGUUUAACUGGAAGUUCAUCCACUGAUGACAUUGUUCCUUAUUUGAAAUCCUUUCUUCAUUUGGAUGGCAGUACAUGUUCGGGAUCGCAAGAAAGAAAAAAAUUGUCAAGGGAAUACCGCGUAUUAUGCUGGAGAGUGGAACCUGAUUGGCUGAUUGGUUGUCAGGGAAGAUAUAUGUU